GACGAACGCUGGCGGCGUGCUUAACACAUGCAAGUCGAACGAAGAGCGAUGGAAGCUUGCUUCUAUCAAUCUUAGUGGCGAACGGGUGAGUAACGCGUAAUCAACCUGCCCUUCAGAGGGGGACAACAGUUGGAAACGACUGCUAAUACCGCAUACGAUCUAAUCUCGGCAUCGAGGAUAGAUGAAAGGUGGCCUCUACAUGUAAGCUAUCACUGAAGGAGGGGAUUGCGUCUGAUUAGCUAGUUGGAGGGGUAACGGCCCACCAAGGCGAUGAUCAGUAGCCGGUCGGAGAGGAUGAACGGCCAAAUUGGGACUGAGACACGGCCCAGACUCCUACGGGAGGCAGCAGUGGGGAAUCUUCCGCAAUGGACGAAAGUCUGACGGAGCAACGCCGCGUGAGUGAUGACGGCCUUCGGGUUGUAAAGCUCUGUUAAUCGGGACGAAAGGCCUUCUUGCGAAUAGUGAGAAGGAUUGACGGUACCGGAAUAGAAAGCCACGGCUAACUACGUG
rnacentral:rRNA from 1 species